rnacentral:rRNA from 1 species
AUUGAACGCUGGCGGCAGGCUUAACACAUGCAAGUCGAGCGGAGAGAGGUAGCUUGCUACUGAUCUUAGCGGCGGACGGGUGAGUAAUGCUUAGGAAUCUGCCUAUUAGUGGGGGACAACAUUUCGAAAGGAAUGCUAAUACCGCAUACGUCCUACGGGAGAAAGCAGGGGAUCUUCGGACCUUGCGCUAAUAGAUGAGCCUAAGUCGGAUUAGCUAGUUGGUGGGGUAAAGGCCUACCAAGGCGACGAUCUGUAGCGGGUCUGAGAGGAUGAUCCGCCACACUGGGACGGAGACACGGCCCAGACUCCUACGGGAGGCAGCAGUGGGGAAUAUUGGACAAUGGGCGCAAGCCUGAUCCAGCCAUGCCGCGUGUGUGAAGAAGGCCUUAUGGUUGUAAAGCACUUUAAGCGAGGAGGAGGCUACUUUAGUUAAUACCUAGAGAUAGUGGACGUUACUCGCAGAAUAAGCACCGGCUAACUCUGUGCCAGCCGCCGCGGUAAAAC